GAUGAAGAACGCAGCGAAAUGCGAUAAGUAAUGUGAAUUGCAGAAUUCAGUGAAUCAUCGAAUCUAUGAACGCACAUUGCGCCCGCCAGUAUUCUGGCGGGCAUGCCUGUCCGAGCGUCAUUUCAACCCUCGCGCCCAUCUGGGCUGCGGUGUUGGGGACCGGCCUGCCCCCCGGGGCGCGCCGCCCCCCAAAUUCAGUGGCGGUCUCGCUGCAGCCUCCCUUGCGUAGUAGCACACCUCGCACCGGAGCGCAGCGCGGCCACGCCGUAAAACCCCCGACCCCCAUGAGUUUGACCUCGGAUCAGGUAGGAAUACCCGCUGAACUUAAGCAUAUCAAUAAGCGGAGGA
rnacentral:misc_RNA from 1 species